CAGCUGUGUCUCGCUCAAAAACCAGCGAAUAGGAAUAGUCUCGUGGGGGUGUGGUUUAUGGACAGACUGCUUGUCUAGCGGGGAAAAGGUCCUGAGUUUGACACCCCAGAAGUGAGAAGAAAUAGCACAAUCCAAUAUUUAAAACUAAAAUGCCUUUAGGAGACAAAUGUAGCAUAGAAAUUUACAAGAUCUUUGAGGCUCCAGACUGGUAAAAUCUCUAGCUACCCGUGUGUAGCUGGAAUCCCAGUCCCUGUGGAGGAUGGGAGAAUUGGCUGAGGCCAGCAGUUAGGGCACAGCCUGGACAACACAGAAGAUUUUAUCUCAAAACAAAAAUCAAAACCCAAAUGAGCAAUAGCAUCAGACUAUCAUUAAAAGGAUACAAUAAAACGGUGUGGGUUUUGUUUGUUUGUUUGUUUGGGGAUGUUAUGAAGCCCAAGCUGGCCUCAACCUUUGUUCUUUCUGCCUUCACCUCCCAAGUGCUGGGAUUACAGACGCGCUCAUGUUGACUCAUGGCUGGAGUUUCCUCUUUCUUUCUUUCUUUCUUUCUUUCUUUCUUUCUUUCUUUCUUUCUUUCUUUUUUUUUUUGACACAGAAUCUUAUGUAGCCCAGGAUAGCCUAGAACAUUUGUGUGUGUGUGUGUGUGUGAUUUAGUGUGGAGGAUGACCGUGAAUUCCCCCCUCACCUAAUGCUAUGAUUUCAGGCACCACCUACCAUCACACCUGUUUUGUUUUAUUUUUUAAUGUGGUGCUGGAGACUCAAACCUAGGGCUUCAUUCACACCAAGCAAGUACUCUACCAACUGAGCCACACCCCACCCAGCUCAGCGGCUUGAUUACAUAUCCUAGGGUUGGUCAAAGAUGAUUGCUCUGGGCUAUGAUUCAGACAUGCUCUCAGAGACCUCACCAGCUCCUGAUGUCAUCCCUGAAAAUGGGUCCUGAUGUGGCCUUUGUAUGAGAGACUAGGCAAGAAGCAGGACAUCUCUUGCCACCAUAGAGCUAGAAGGUCCAUAUCAACCCAACCCAGCCUAAUCAUACCAAGACUUGAAGGACUGACACAAUGGUGGAGAUAUCCGGACAGACGCCUUCAGUUCUCCGUCAAAACCCAAAGGACCUAUUUCCUCCGUGGCUGCUGGCAGGCUGUCAGACCGCACGAGGAUUACCUCCGUGGAAAAGAAUUCGAUCCCCUAAGGACAAGCCCGGCUACUGGAGAAGUCUGAAUCCGGACGCUGGCUGCUGUAAGACAUCAGACACGAUGCUUACUUAGUUCAUCCGAGUUUCAGAUAGACGAUGAUACAAGUGUGCGGUAAAGCCGGGGUCACCUGCUAAAAGUUACUCACUGUUUAAAUAAAGCUCAGGUCUGAUUGGACA
rnacentral:lncRNA from 1 species